rnacentral:rRNA from 1 species
UGGGGAAUAUUGCACAAUGGAGGGAACUCUGAUGCAGCGACGCCGCGUGAGUGAUGAAGGAAUUCGUUUCGUAAAACUCUGUUCUAUGGGAAGAAAAGGACUGUACCAUAGGAGAAAGCUCCGGCUAAAUACGUGCCAGCAGCCGCGGUAAUACGUAUGGAGCGAGCGUUGUCCGGAAUUAGUGGGCGUAAAGGGUGCGCAGGCGGCUUUACAAGUUGGAUGUGAAAUAUUGUGGCUCAACCACAAACGUGCAUCCAAAACUGCAAAGCUUGAGUUAAGGAGAGGUAAGUGGAAUUCCUGGUGUAUCGGUGGAAUGCGUAGAUAUCAGGAGGAAUACCGGUGGCGAAGGCGACUUACUGGACUUAAACUGACGCUCAGGCACGAAAGCGUGGGGAGCAAACAGG